UACGGGGGGAGCAAGCGUUGUUCGGAUUUACUGGGCGUAAAGGGCGCGUAGGCGGCCACCGCAAGUCAAUUGUGAAAUCUCCGGGCUCAACUCGGAAAGGUCAACUGAUACUGCGGGGCUAGAGUGCGGAAGGGGCAACUGGAAUUCUCGGUGUAGCGGUGAAAUGCGUAGAUAUCGAGAGGAACACCUGCGGCGAAGGCGGGUUGCUGGGCCGACACUGACGCUGAGGCGCGAAAGCCAGGGGAGCGAACGGG
rnacentral:rRNA from 1 species